CAGCAGGCGCGAAAACUUUACAAUGCGGGAAACCGUGAUAAGGGGACACCGAGUGCCAGCAUCAUAUGCUGGCUGUCCGGGUGUGUAAAAUACACCCGUUAGCAAGGGCCGGGCAAGACCGGUGCCAGCCGCCGCGGUAACACCGGCGGCCCGAGUGGUGAUCGUGAUUAUUGGGUCUAAAGGGUCCGUAGCCGGUUUGGUCAGUCCUCCGGGAAAUCUGACGGCUCAACCGUUAGGCUUUCGGGGGAUACUGCCAGGCUUGGAACCGGGAGAGGUAAGAGGUACUACAGGGGUAGAAGUGAAAUCUUGUAAUCCCUGUGAGACCACCUGUGGCGAAGGCGCCUUACCAGAACGGGUUCGACGGUGAGGGACGAAAGCUGGGGGCACGAACCGGAUUAGAUACCCGGGUAGUCCCAGCCGUAAACGAUGCUCGCUAGGUGUCAGGCAUGGCGCGACCGUGUCUGGUGCCGCAGGGAAGCCGUGAAGCGAGCCACCUGGGAAGUACGGCCGCAAGGCUGAAACUUAAAGGAAUUGGCGGGGGAGCAC
rnacentral:rRNA from 1 species